AGGAUGAACGCUAGCGGCAGGCCUAAUACAUGCAAGUCGAACGGACUGGGGGGGCUUCGGUUCCCCGGUUAGUGGCGCACGGGUGCGUAACGCGUAUGCAACCUACCUUCUAUUGGGGGGAUAGCCCCGGGAAACCGGGAUUAAUACCGCAUAAUACAUUUGACCGGCAUCGGUUGACUGUUAAAGUUCGGCGAUAGAAGAUGGGCAUGCGUGCCAUUAGCUUGUGGCGGGGUAACGCCCACCAAGGCGACGAUGGCUAGGGGUUCUGAGAGGAUGGUCCCCCACACUGGUACUGAGACACGGACCAGACUCCUACGGGAGGCAGCAGUAGGGAAUAUGGGCAAUGGAAGAGAUUCUGACCCAGCCAUGCCGCGUGCAGGAAGAAGGCCUUCUGGGUUGUAAACUGCUUUUAUCUAAGGAAGAAAACCGCCCCGUGACGGGGUAACUGACGGUACUAGAUAGAAUAAGACACCGGCUAACGUCCGUGCCAGACAGCCGAC
rnacentral:rRNA from 1 species